rfam:Myotis brandtii contig188881, whole genome shotgun sequence.
GGCAGUUCUCAGGUAACACAUCCCAGAAUUGGGCUUCCUCCUCUCUGGUUCCAGGUGCGUCACCCGAGAACUGCC